CAACCUGUUGGUGAUCCUUUAUUUUUUUAUUAUUACUAGAAUACUAGGCAAUGGACGAUUUACUGCUCAUAUCCAUCCCUAAUAUUACUAGCUAAUCGUCCUUGCACAUAACAAGAGGCCGGCGUGCCCUUCUCAUGCUCAGCAGCAAUAAUUUUUGCACCCAGUCAUUGUCUCGAAGCAUAGCGUCUUACGGUUGCCACCAUGGUACCAACAGCAGAAGCAAGUACUGAACUUGCACCACACCGUAUUGGGUAGCAGCUUGAUGCAACCGCAAUCUACCCUCCUGUCGCUCCCAACUGGAUUUGUGUGUUGACCUGCACAUUAGUUAAUUAAUUAAUUGUUAUAGUAUAUAAGAUGCUUGAAUAACGCAUAAGUGUAAGUUUUAGAAGAGCACAAGGGGUCUCCUCGCGCUCCUAUAUGUUGUACAAUACUAUUACUCACAUUGUGAGAGAACUGCGAAACAUCCAAGGGUAAGCAUAAGCAUCACAACUAUAGUAGCCAUUCUUCCCUCCAUCACAGCAAUCACAGUGUAUGUCCGACAAACAUACACAUCCCGC
rnacentral:lncRNA from 1 species